GGUGUGGUGGCAUGUGCUGCACUCUUCUGGAGUGGCAAGAAAAACGCUGGCGAAAUGCGUGAUGAGAAGCGCACGCUCGAAUGCUUGAAGAAGGGCGCACGCAUAAUUGCGCAUUGCUUGGACGUUGGCGU